rnacentral:rRNA from 1 species
ACUCAAAUGAAUUGACGGGGGCCCGCACAAGCGGUGGAGCAUGUGGAUUAAUUCGUCACUAACCGAAGAACCUUACCCAGGUUUGACAUCUGGCGCACCGGGGUGAAAGCCUCGUUCCCUUCGGGGACGCCAAGACAGGUGUUGCAUGGCUGUCGUCAGCUCGUGUCGUGAGAUGUUGGGUUAAGUCCCGCAACGAGCGCAACCCUCACCGUAUGUUGGCAGCGUAAAGUCGGCAACUCUUACGGAACUGCCCGUGCAAGCGGGAGGAAGGUGGGGACGACGUCAAGUCGGCAUGGCCCUUACACCUGGGGCUUCACACAUGCUACAAUGGGCGCUACAGACCGCUCCGAGACCGCGAGGUGGAGGAAAUCGGAAAAAAGCGUCCUCAGUUCGGAUUGCAGGCUGCAACUCGCCUGCAUGAAGCUGGAAUCGCUAGUAACCGCAGGUCAGCUAAACUGCGGUGAAUACGUUCCCGGGCCUUGUACACACCGCCCGU